CUCAUACGCCAUUAUGAUAGACACCGCAUAGUGAACGAUGCUUUUAUUUUUUAGUGUGUUGGUGUAAAUAUCAUUGUAAAUCUUAACUCCAGCCUAUUCUGAUGUUUGUCAAUUGCUGCACAAAGUACUCGGAUUUGAAAAAUAGUUAAGAACCAAUUUAUGUUGACUAACCUGAUGAACAUGUCUGGAUGGUUGUGGCUGGUAGUGGUCCAAUAUGGUGGCUUAGGUGAAAUGACAUGCCUCUUAACAUAUUAUUUCCAAGGCAGUUAUGUAGUUCACUUUCAAGUAUUUAUUGAAUGUUAACUGUCUUGUUGAAUCUGAGGUGUGAGUAUCGCUCUACUUCGUCUUUGCUGUUACCUGAGUUUAAUUUGUUUUUGCAUUGUUCAUCCUUGGAAGCCAUGUGGUACUGUGUUGCUAAGAUUUUGCUUUGCUUUUGUGGUUGAGAAUUGUCUGCUAAUGGUGUGGUGAUAGUAGUUUUAGGUUUGCUUUUCCAUUAAGCAUUGUCUAUCCCUACUUCUAAUUUUAGUUGGAAAGUGUUUUGACCAUCUUCAGUGAAGGUUUUGCCAACCAACCAUGUUCUUUGUUGGCUUGGUUUUUGCAGGUCACUUUGCUUAAAGUUCGACAUGUUGACAGUUUAACAUGUUGAGAGGUUUUGUCGGGGGGUGACGAAAGUGAAUGAUAAGAGUUAACCUUGCAAUUGCCAGUGGGUGAUUUUUAAGUUACAUUUAUUAACUUGUUUGAUCCUUGUUAGCCGUUGAGCGAUUCUUGUCCAUUCAGGUGGUUGUUGCGUGAGUUGGAGUAAUGUGGAUAUAUCAAGCAUUUUACCGAACCCGCUCAGGCAACCGCCGUACGUUCGCAGAAUACGAGGAUUGGAGUUGCACAACAUCCAGGUUGUUUCCUUGCCGAAGAUAACCAAGUCUGCCGGAGUUUUAGUCAUUACAGUUCUAUUGCGGAAAGCAGUUUUUGCAAGGGGCUGCUAAAGGGUCGGUUGUAAUCAGUGUUAUUUCUCCACUCAACUUGCUCAUCUUAAGGUAUAACUGGAAGGAUGAAUGGACAAGUGGAAGCAUUGGUGUUUGCUUCCCAACGACUCGCCAUUGGGGUGUUGACGUUGGUUAGUGUGGUAUCGGAGGUGGGCCGUUUGACAGGUUAAAUUUGUAGCUUCAAGUUAUUGACUGUUUUCUUUAUCUUCAUUAGCCAGAUGAACUCUAUGACAUGUAUGUAUUUUAUUAAUAAUUUUUCUAGUUUAGUUUAUAAAUGGUUAUGUUAUAGUGAAAUUUUACUUCGCUUGACUAUUUGAGACUCUGCUAGUGUUGUGAUAAUUAGUUGGCAGAAUUUUGAGUUGAGGUUUUCUUGUAUAUUUCAUUAAUUCCAAAAAUGAGUUUUCUCCAUCUUUAUAAAGAUUAUAGAGAUUAUAAAGAAUCCAUCUUUAUAAAGAUGGAGAAAACUCAUUUUUGUUGGUUUGUUCGUUGGUCUACUAGUUUACAAAAUUUUCACCUGUAGGUGAAAAUUUUGAAACCAACAUUGUCACUUAUCUCCUGUUGAACGGUUUAAAGGAUAUUGAGCAUGUUUGCAACUUCUGUUGGUGAAGGUUAAUUUUCCACCUAUCGCCAACGGUAUGUUAAAGCAAUGUCGUUAGCUUUUCAACAAUCCUUCAUUAAUAUGUUGACGUCGAAGAGUACGAUUUCCAAAGUAUGCCGUUUGAUAAGUUGAACUUGCUUUAUAUUAACUUCUGGUUUUGAUACUGGCUGCAGUAGCUGGUAUAUGGGAAACAUUUUAUUGUAGUGUUCUGCGCCGUUUAUGCGCUAUUGCAUAAUCCGUUACUUGGCUGUUUUUUGUUUAUACUUGAUUUUUUCUGCUCCGGGACUUUUGUUUACAACCAAUAAUUGUGUCGUGACAGGCAUUCUAAGUGCGGCGAAACGUGUUAAAUAUCUCUUUCAGUUGCAGAACAUACAUGGUAAAAUGAGAACUUCAACAAAGCAGUUGUACGUGCAUGUACAAACAUUGUUUGAGGUUUAAUGACAAUUUUUAGUUUGAUUGUAGUAUCUAUAACUGAACAAAAAUCUUUGCUUCGUUAUCGACUAAUAGUAAAUUCGAAUUGUUUUUAUGUCUAAUUUUACCAUUAGCGCGGAGGAAAAAGUUUUAGAAGUAUUGCAAUAUUAGAUAAAAUUCGGGUUGUAUUACAUGGCACUUUCAAAUUCUAAUUAUCAGUCGACUAACAGUCUUAGUACUUGGAAUUUUUAGCCGAGUUUAUUACUGAUUUAUUGUAAGAAAAUGUUUUAAUAGCGCUAUUGAAGAAACAGCGAAGAGAUGAUGGAUGUAUAUAAUCUAAUUAUCAAAGUGCUAC